CCUACGGGAGGCAGCAGUAGGGAAUAUUGGACAAUGGGCGAAAGCCUGAUCCAGCCAUGCCGCGUGUGUGAAGAAGGUCUUCGGAUUGUAAAGCACUUUAAGUUGGGAGGAAGGGCAGUAAGUUAAUACCUUGCUGUUUUGACGUUACCGACAGAAUAAGCACCGGCUAACUUCGUGCCAGCAGCCGCGGUAAU
rnacentral:rRNA from 1 species